GACGUAGGAGGCGAGCGUUGUCCGGAUUCAUUGGGCGUAAAGAGCACGCAGGCGGUUUGGCAAGUCGGACGUGAAAAUCCGGGGCUCAACCCCGGACCUGCAUCCGAAACUGCCCGACUAGAGGUAGGUAGGGGAGAUCGGAAUUCCUGGUGUAGCGGUGAAGUGCGCAGAUAUCAGGAGGAACACCGGUGGCGAAGGCGGAUCUCUGGGCCUUACCUGACGCUCAGGUGCGAAAGCUAGGGGAGCGAACAGG
rnacentral:rRNA from 1 species